UACAUUAUUUUUGGGAAAAUUACUUAGAUAGACCAUAAAAGUAGGUUUAUUCCCUAAACAGCCAAAUUUAUUUUUUAUUCCCUAGAUGUUUAGUGAGAUGGGUGUAAUUACAAUAAACACCAUUGGUCUGUUUUCACUUAAAAAUUGCCACGUCAUAUCCGACAUGCCACGUCAUACCCGAAAUUGCCACAUCAUCAUCGAAAAUUAUUCUCUCAUUAAUUAUCAAAAAAGAAAGUGAACAGUUUCUUUCGUCACUGUUUAGAAUUGGAAAACAAAAAAAAAAAAAAAUUUAUCUCACGCGUUCGAAAGAGAAGAAACUCGCCGCCGACGAACACAGUACUCGCCGCCGUCGAAUAUUACGCUCUCUCUCUUUCGCUCUAAAAACUCGCCUUGAGUCGCUGUGAAGAGAAGCAGUCGUUGUGAGUCGCCGUGAGUGAGUCCUCGUUUUCGUUGCUACAUUGGAGACCUUUCGUAUUCCGGUAAGUGUCGAACUGUAUUUCGAGUUUUUCCGACUAUAAUCGUGUUUGUUUU
rnacentral:lncRNA from 1 species